rnacentral:rRNA from 1 species
GGGUGGUAAUGCCGGAUGUUCCACAUGAUCGCAUGUGAUUGUGGGAAAGAUUCUAUCGGCGUGGGAUGGGGUCGCGUCCUAUCAGCUUGUUGGUGAGGUAACGGCUCACCAAGGCUUCGACGGGUAGCCGGCCUGAGAGGGCGACCGGCCACAUUGGGACUGAGAUACGGCCCAGACUCCUACGGGAGGCAGCAGUGGGGAAUAUUGCACAAUGGGCGCAAGCCUGAUGCAGCGACGCCGCGUGAGGGAUGGAGGCCUUCGGGUUGUAAACCUCUUUUGUUUGGGAGCAAGCCUUCGGGUGAGUGUACCUUUCGAAUAAGCGCCGGCUAACUACGUGCCAGCAGCCGCGGUAAUACGUAGGGCGCAAGCGUUAUCCGGAUUUAUUGGGCGUAAAGGGCUCGUAGGCGGCUCGUCGCGUCCGGUGUGAAAGUCCAUCGCUUAACGGUGGAUCUGCGCCGGGUACGGGCGGGCUGGAGUGCGGUAGGGGAGACUGGAAUUCCCGGUGUAACGGUGGAAUGUGUAGAUAUCGGGAAGAACACCA